UACGAAGGGGGCUAGCGUUGCUCGGAAUCACUGGGCGUAAAGCGCGCGUAGGCGGCUUUGCAAGUCGGGUGUGAAAGCCCUCAGCUCAACUGAGGAAGUGCGCCCGAAACUGCAGAGCUUGAGUGCCGGAGAGGGUGGCGGAAUUCCCCAAGUAGAGGUGAAAUUCGUAGAUAUGGGGAGGAACACCGGUGGCGAAGGCGGCCACCCGGACGGUAACUGACGCUGAGGCGCGAAAGCGUGGGGAGCAAACAGG
rnacentral:rRNA from 1 species